UACAGAGAGAGUGAGGAAUGGAGUGUGAGUGAGGUACAGAGAGAGUGAGGUGUGGAGUGAGUGAGAUAGGGAGAGUGAGGUGUGGAGUGUGAGUGAGGUACAGAGAGAGUGAGGCAUGGAGUAUGAGUGAGAUAGGGAGAGUGAGGUGUGGAGUGUGAGUGAGGUACAGAGAGAGUGAGGGGUGGAGUGUGAUUGAGGAACAGAGAGAGUGAAGCAUGGAGUGUGAGUGAGGUAUAGAGAGAGUGAGGCAAUGAGUGCGAGUGAGAUAGGGAGAGUGAGGGGUGGAGUGUGAGUGAGAUAGGGAGAGUGAGGGAUGGACUGUGAGUGAGGUACAGAGUGAGUGGGGGUGGAUUGUGAUUGAGGUACAGAGAGAGUGAGGCAUGGAGUGUGAGUGAGAUAUGGAGAGUUUGGUGUGGAGUGUGAGUGAAAUAGGGAGAGUGAGGGGUGGAGUGUGAUUGAGAUAGGGAGAGUGAGGGAUGGACUGUGAGUGAGGUACAGAGUGAGUGGGGGUGGAUUGUGAUUGAGGUACAGAGAGAGUGAGGCAUGGAGUGUGAGUGAGAU